rnacentral:rRNA from 1 species
UGGGGAAUUUUGGACAAUGGGCGCAAGCCUGAUCCAGCAAUGCCGCGUGAGUGAAGAAGGCCUUCGGGUUGUAAAGCUCUUUUGUCAGGGAAGAAACGGCCUAGGCUAAUAUCCUGGGCUAAUGACGGUACCUGAAGAAUAAGCACCGGCUAACUACGUGCCAGCAGCCGCGGUAAUACGUAGGGUACAAGCGUUAAUCGGAAUUACUGGGCGUAAAGCGUGCGCAGGCGGUUUUGUAAGUCUGUCGUGAAAGCCCCGGGCUUAACCUGGGAAUUGCGAUGGAGACUGCAAGGCUUGAAUCUGGCAGAGGGGGGUAGAAUUCCACGUGUAGCAGUGAAAUGCGUAGAGAUGUGGAGGAACACCGAUGGCGAAGGCAGCCCCCUGGGUCAAGAUUGACGCUCAUGCACGAAAGCGUGGGGAGCAAACAGG